rnacentral:rRNA from 1 species
CCUACGGGUGGCUGCAGUGGGGAAUAUUGGACAAUGGGGGGAACCCUGAUCCAGCCAUGCCGCGUGUGUGAAGAAGGCCCUCGGGUUGUAAAGCACUUUCAGUGAGGAAGAACGCCUGGUGGUUAAUACCCAUCAGGAAAGACAUCACUCACAGAAGAAGCACCGGCUAACUCCGUGCCAGCAGCCGCGGUAAUACGGAGGGUGCGAGCGUUAAUCGGAAUUACUGGGCGUAAAGCGCGCGUAGGUGGCUUGAUAAGCCGGUUGUGAAAGCCCCGGGCUCAACCUGGGAACGGCAUCCGGAACUGUCAAGCUAGAGUGCAGGAGAGGAAGGUAGAAUUCCCGGUGUAGCGGUGAAAUGCGUAGAGAUCGGGAGGAAUACCAGUGGCGAAGGCGGCCUUCUGAACUGACACUGACACUGAGGUGCGAAAGCGUGGGUAGCAAACAGGAUUAGAUACCCGUGUAGUC